ensembl:lncRNA
CUGGUAGAAGAGCAGUCCACAGUCUCCAGGCUGCAGUGUGAGCAACAGGAAGCAGAACAUCAGAGGGAUCUCCUGGGCACCAGAGUAGCUGCGCUGAACUGUGACAUCCAGCAGAAAGACUGCAUGCAGCUCACAGAGCAGGACGAGGUGUCCAGUAGAGAUGACCUGCAGGCGGCGGACCGCUCGAGAAUCUGACUGCUGCACAAGAGGAGGAAGAGGAGUGUAAAUUUCAAAAGGACGAGCUGUGUGAUCUGUGAGAGGUGGUGCAGCGAUGGCAGCAGGAGGUGCAGGAGCAGAAGGAGAGCCGGGUAAAGGAGGUGCAGGCCCUUAAGGAAGAGCUGCAGAGCACACAAAGUUGUCUGCAGCAGCACAGAGAUACAGCCCACAGACAGCAGAGAGACACGGAGGAUGAGGUCUCCUGCAGGGCGGCAGCUCUCCGCAGUCAGGAUACAGAGUUGAUUCAACUAAAGGCAGGUCUGCUGGAGGCUGAGAAACUAGACACAGAGGCACGACUGCAACCUCUUACCGAAUCCCUAGAGCUCUGCCAACACAAGUACCAGGCCUGCCUCAGCAAGAUCACACAACAAGAGAACACUCUGCAUAGCCACGAGGAGGACCUGAAAGAGGCCCACAAUCAGAGGGAAGAGCAGGUCCUCCGUCUGAGGGCUCAGGUUGUAGCUCAGCAGGUACACUGCGCCCAGCUGGAGAGUGGAGACGAUGCCCUCACCGCUCUGAGCCAGCAGCUCCGAGACACGCUGGGAGAACUGGAGCACAGUCGUAAACACAGCCAGGAGUGUGAGCUGCUCAUCAGCACUCUCAGAGACACUGCUGCUACCCGUCUCUGACAGAGGUGCAGCGACUGCAGGAGCAGGUGAGAAAGCUCCAGGUGGAUGCAGCAGAUGAGGGCUGGAGACAAGCACAAGUUGAUUCUCUGGAACAGAAGGUAGCUAGUCUGGAAGGAGAACUACUGGCAGCUCAAAGGCAGUGUGACCAGGUAAACAAUGUAUGUAUAGAUCAGAUACACUUUGCCUGUGGCAGAUUCUCACAGUCACUCUCUCUCAGGCUAUCCAAAAGAGAGACGCCCUACUUAGACAAUCCGAGGCUGAUCUUCUGCAGGCGUGGGAGAAGAUCCGAAGCAAGGCGGCGGAGGCAGAGAGACAGGCCGUCUCUGCUCGAGGGCUAGAAGCUGAUCUGUAGAAACCCAAGAAAGAGAAAAGGCGAAGGGAGAAAGAGUGCGCCUCACUCAAAACACAGAUGCUUCAGCUCAGAGAACAACUGAAGGAGGCUUACACCACCCGUAGAGACAUGGGUAACACAGAGCAGAACACAUGUAGAACUUUUAUUGUGGAUUGCCAUGAUGUAAAUAAUUCUUAAAGCCGCAGAGUAUACUUUAAACUCUUACGAGAUUGGCUGAAACUGCAAAUACAGCAGCCCCAAGAAGUAUUUGGACACCUAAGCCAAAAUUGGUGCUGGGUAGAUUACUUAUACAUUGAAGUCAGUUAAUGAGAGCAAAUUGCAUGAAAAAAAAAAAAAUGUUUUUAUUAACAUAAACAAUUUUUUAUUACUUUAAGAUUACUUUGGGCCAAACUUGUUUUAUCACAUUAAUUUGAAUAGGAUAAUCCAUAUUGUACCAUAUUGAUAUUAAAAUACAAAGAAAAUAAAUCCCAUUCUUUGUUAUCAACAACAUGAAGGGUUUUCCAAACAGUGGUUUUCUUGAAGAUACUGCAAGGGUUUAUGAAUUAAUUGAAAUUUAAUUAUUAAUUAAAUCACAAAAAAAAACAAUUUAACAAUGUAAAUGUAAAAUUAAAAUAAAAUAAAUAAAUAAAAACAAAUCAAAAUAAAAUACACAUAAAAAGGAUUCAUUAUUUUAUUUGUUUAUUUGCAUGUUAUGUGACCAUUAAACAUCAGACAGAUCCAUUAACCCACAAAUCUAUUAUUACACACUAAACUACACCUGUGCUUACUCUGAUAGGACACAUUCUUUAAAAACAAUCUUGGGGCCAGGUGAUUAAAAUUAUUUUUUUAAAUGGCUCAGAAAAGUACAUUUUGUUCCAAGAAAGCUUGUUUCUUGCGUUUAACAUCAAAUAUGGUAGAUGGAAACUCAAAUGUGUUUGCUUGACCCACAAGAACAAACCAUGGGAAUUCAUGCUGGUAAUUUUAGCACGGCAAUGAUUUCCUCUUGAUUUUGCAAGAGAAAAGCCAUUGCUUUUAAAUCUGUGUGGUUUUGUCAGAAUAUGCAUGUGCACCUGUUUGUGUUCUUCAGCAGUCUCCUGUCUGAAAUGAAACAGCCCAUCAAUUCAGAGCCUCAAGACAUCAGCUGCAUGCACAUCUUCACACACACCACUGUGGGAAUGAUGCUCGUUAGAAACAAUAUCCUCAGCACAGAUGAAGACGGGCAGAUGUGGCCAAGGUAUAACCUGGAAAGGGAUUAGUAUGCUCUUUUAUAUGAGUGACAACAUAUAAUGAAGUUUUGGAUAUAUACAAUUUUAAUAUAAGACAUAUUCCGAUUUAUAUAAGAUUUACUUAGCAAGGAUGCAUACAAUUGAUCAUUGUCAUUCCAGUCAUUUAAGUGACGUGCAGAUGUGUAUACUGGAAUAAGUCAAUCAAUCAAUCAGUACAUGCAUGCUGUUUAUUUGAACGUUCUAUACAGCAAAGAAUCCUAACAAAAAUGUAUCAGGAUUUCCAGUAUAUUAAAUAUUAAACUGUUUUCAACAUUUAUAAUUUUAAGAAAUGUUUAUUGAGAAGCAAAUCAGCAUAAUUGAAUGAUCUCUGAACAAUCAGGUGACACUGAAAAUUCUGAUUUCCCAUCACAGGAAUAAAUUACAUUUUAAAAUACAUCCAAAUAGAAAACAGUUAUUGUAAAUUGGAAUAAUAUUUCAUAAUAUCACUGUUUUACUGUGUUUUUUAAACAAAUAAAUGUAGCCUUCUUUUUCAAAAAACAUCUUACCGAUCUCAGACAUUUGAUCAGUAGUGCAUACGUUGUUAUACGUAUCUGGAACUCUGAUACUCUUGAAGUGAACUCACAGACGUGUUACUAUGUUUAUUAUGUGUGUAUGUUUCUGCUCAGGAGCUGACGCAGCAGCAGGAGAAAGUGCAGCUGUUGGAGAGAGGCCAGUGUCUGGCUCAGGAGCAGCUCUCAGAGAGAAAGCUCAGAGGAGACUCCAGGCAGAGCUCAAGAGAAUAACAGACAGUCUGGAAAGCACCCACCAGGAGCUACAGGACUCACGGUAAACUCAAAACCAGGAGGUCAGCCUGGUCCAGUUAGCCCCUACUGGUAGAUGCCACAGCUAUACAAUUAUACAGGGAACAAAUGGAUGGUCAUUCAAAAGUAACUAUAUAUUCUGCAUAUAUAUAUAUAUAUAUAUAUAUAUAUAUAUAUAUAUAUAUAUAUAUAUAUUUGAAGCA